AGUCGUAACAAGGUCUCCGUAGGUGAACCUGCGGAGGGAUCAUUACACAAAUAUGAAGGCGGGCUGGAACCUCUCGGGGUUACAGCCUUGCUGAAUUAUUCACCCUUGUCUUUUGCGUACUUCUUGUUUCCUUGGUGGGUUCGCCCACCACUAGGACAAACAUAAACCUUUUGUAAUUGCAAUCAGCGUCAGUAACAAAUUAAUAAUUACAACUUUCAACAACGGAUCUCUUGGUUCUGGCAUCGAUGAAGAACGCAGCGAAAUGCGAUAAGUAGUGUGAAUUGCAGAAUUCAGUGAAUCAUCGAAUCUUUGAACGCACAUUGCGCCCUUUGGUAUUCCAAAGGGCAUGCCUGUUCGAGCGUCAUUUGUACCCUCAAGCUUUGCUUGGUGUUGGGCGUCUUGUCUCUAGCUUUGCUGGAGACUCGCCUUAAAGUAAUUGGCAGCCGGCCUACUGGUUUCGGAGCGCAGCACAAGUCGCACUCUCUAUCAGCAAAGGUCUAGCAUCCAUUAAGCCUUUUUUUUCAACUUUUGACCUCGGAUCAGGUAGGGAUACCCGCUGAACUUAAGCAUAUCAAUAAGUAAAAGUCG
rnacentral:rRNA from 1 species